rnacentral:rRNA from 1 species
AUACGGAGGGUGCAAGCGUUACUCGGAAUCACUGGGCGUAAAGCGCGCGCAGGCGGGCUGAUAAGUUGGAUGUGAAAGCCUACGGCUCAACCGUAGAACUGCAUCCAAAACUGUCAGUCUAGAGUCUGAGAGGGGAAGAUGGAAUUAGUUGUGUAGGGGUAAAAUCCGUAGAGAUAACUAGGAAUACCAAAAGCGAAGGCGAUCUUCUGGAACAGUACUGACGCUGAGGCGCGAAAGCGUGGGGAGCAAACAGGAUUAGAAACCCUAGUAGUCC